rnacentral:rRNA from 1 species
AAUCAACGCUGGCGGCGUGCCUCAGACAUGCAAGUCGAACGAUUAAAGCUCCCUUCGGGGAGUGCAUAAAGUGGCGCACGGGUGAGUAACACGUAGGUAAUCUACCCUCGAGUGGGGAAUAACGUCCGGAAACGGACGCUAAUACCGCAUAAUGCAGCGGCACCGCACGGUGACAGUUGUUAAAGAUUUAUCGCUUGAGGAGGAGCUUGCGGCAGAUUAGCUAGUUGGUAAGGUAAUGGCUUACCAAGGCCGCGAUCUGUAACCGGUCUAAGAGGACGGUCGGUCACACUGACACUGAAUAACGGGUCAGACUCCUACGGGAGGCAGCAGUCGGGAAUUUUGGGCAAUGGGCGAAAGCCUGACCCAGCAACGCCGCGUGAAGGAUGAAGUAUUUCGGUAUGUAAACUUCGAAAGAAUGGGAAGAAUAAAUGACGGUACCAUUUAUAAGCUCCGGCUAACUACGUGCCAGCAGCCGCCGUAAUAC